CUCCCUAUAUUUUUAAUGUUAUGACAUUAAAAAACAAUUCAAAAAUCUUAAAAAAUAAAAAAUAAAGAUAUCAAAAUAACCAAAUAGAUGGAGAGGUCGAUGCCAAAGGGGAGAGAAAGAGAGUUGAACAUUGAAAAGAUAGGGAAAAAAUCUGAAUAUAGAAGAGAGAGACGUGGGGAAGAUGAAUGUUGAAUAGAGAGAAAGAUGUGAGUUUAAAUAGGUGCUCAAAGUCCAAAUUGUAAUGGAAGCGGCCAAAUGACUUCGGUUAAUUAUCCCAUAUCGAGAAAUCUAAAGAGCUUUACCGUUUGGAUACCUGAAAAUAUAUUGUCUGUGAAAUAUAUUACUGGUGUAGUACAUUACUGCGUAAUACAUUACCUCCAAAUGGAUUGUCACUCGUAUUUUAGAUGCAACCUAUUUGGGUAGUAUUUAGAUGCAACUUGGGAAAUACAUUGUUACUGUUUGUCUAUAUCCGUUACUAUUUGGCUAUGUCCAGAAGAAAUAUAGGAAAUACAUUACCAACAUUUGUUUUUUUCUUUUUUGGCUUUAUAUCCAAAACAUGGUUGAACGUACAAUCCCUAUUAAUAUGUAGCUUAAACUUUAU
rnacentral:lncRNA from 1 species